UCCCUUUUUGUUUCCCUUUUUCUCGCUGCUCCCGAAAGGCCGAAACCCUAACCCUAACCCUAAUCCCUUUGAUAGCUUGAAAAGAAGCACAGAGAGCUCGAUUGAAGAUCCAUGGCCAGGUUCCAAGAUGCUGAGGAGAUCGAUUCCAAGCGCCUUGCUGACAAAGCGAAGAGCCGAGACGUGAGUAGCUGGUUGGAGGGUGAGGAGUUGAUUGGAUUUUGCAAAAUUCUUGGUUGAAGACCUCUGAGAUCAAGCCUGAGAUUCCUUCGUUGUUAUCUUGAAUGUUAAAUCUUUUUAUUUUGUUUUAGCUUGAACAAGUUUGGGUGGAAGGGGAUUUUGACCAUUUUGUUGUUUUUUGAGGUCAUUAGUUGGUUGGAGGGUGAGAGGAUCAAGCCUGAUGUAAUUCGUCGCCAUUAUCUUGAAUGGCUUUCAUGGUUUACACAAGGGUAUCUCACAAGGGGAGGCGAUUGAUGGUAGAUGAUGCUGCAACUUGUGUAAAGGAUGGACUCAUGAAAGGUUUAUGGGUUUGACUAGCGGGGCAACCACAAGGUUGCGAGGUUGCAAAGUGAAUACUAAGGUGGCAAGGCUCGUCGGAGGUUGCAAAGCUAGCACAGAGGUGGCAAGGCUCAGAAAGAGCUCUGUGGAGAGCUAACAAAUCACGUCGGAGGGUGUACAGAAUUCUAGACUGAACACGUUCACAGCGAUGUCAUAGACCGAAUUGAACAAGAUUCCGGCGAUCGGCCGGCAUCUGAUACCAUGAUAAAUAAAUGAUGAGAGAAAAGAAUGAAUACAAUUCUAGGGCAAACUAGCCCAUAUAAAUACAAUAAUGGUGUACACUCGAGUAUGUAUAUACAUAUAAUAUACAUGUACAAGUACUCUAACACUGAGUAUGACCCCUUUUUUUUUUUUUAAUUCUUUAUAACAAUGAUAACAUUG